rnacentral:rRNA from 1 species
ACUCAAAGGAAUUGACGGGGGCCCGCACAAGCGGUGGAGCAUGUGGUUUAAUUCGACGCAACGCGAAGAACCUUACCUGGGCUCGAACGGCUUCGGACAAGCUGUGGAAACACGGUCUUCCCGCAAGGGACUGGAGUCGAGGUGCUGCAUGGCUGUCGUCAGCUCGUGUCGUGAGAUGUUGGGUUAAGUCCCGCAACGAGCGCAACCCUCGUCCUGUGUUGCCACCCCGCAAGGGAGCACUCUCAGGAGACCGCCAGCGAUAAGUUGGAGGAAGGUGGGGAUGACGUCAAGUCAUCAUGGCCUUUAUGUCCAGGGCUACACACGUGCUACAAUGGACGGUACAAAGCGCUGCAAACCCGCGAGGGAGAGCCAAUCGCAAAAAACCGUUCUCAGUUCGGAUCGCAGGCUGCAACUCGCCUGCGUGAAGCUGGAAUCGCUAGUAAUGGCGUAUCAGAACGACGCCGUGAAUACGUUCCCGGGCCUUGUACACACCGCCCGU